rnacentral:rRNA from 1 species
GACGAACCGUGCGAACGUUGUUCGGAAUCACUGGGCUUAAAGGGCGCGUAGGCGGCCGCCUUGGUCGUGGGUGAAAUCCCCCAGCUCAACUGGGGAACUGCCUACGAUACCGGGCGGCUCGAGGGAGGAAGGGGCGGCCGGAACUGUCGGUGGAGCGGUGAAAUGCGUUGAUAUCGACAGGAACGCCGGUGGCGAAGGCGGCCCACUGGGUCUUUUCUGACACUGAGGGACGAAAGCUAGGGGAGCGAACGGG